rnacentral:lncRNA from 1 species
UUCAAGUUGGUACCACCUUCAAAUUCAAAUAAUGUCUAUCACCCUCAACUUCAUUACUGUAUAAUUAGUUUACAUGAUUUUACUACAAAACUAGUUUCCUACUUAUUUUCUUCCUUUGCUUGCUUCCUAAUUCAAAUCACAACAUGAAAAUGUUAUAACGUAUUAAUUUCAAAUCCAUCUUCCUCUUCAUCUACUUCUUAACAUCUAAUCACAAUCAUGCAAUGUGUUAAUUUCCAACCCAUCUACUCCUACUCAAAACACAACCAUAAAAUAUGUUAAUAUCAAAACAAAACCAUAAAAUGUGUUACUUUCCAACCCAUCUUUUUCUUCAACUUCCACUGAUACAUUAAAAUUUAUUUUCCAACAUCUAAAUCAUAUACAGUGUCAUAGAACAUAUGUUUGAAAAUAAAUCUAGAUGUUGCAUUGGUCCGACCACACUCAACCUCACUGACUAAUUUGACAAUAGAAUCGAAGCAAAAUCUUAGCUAGAUUUGCUUCUUAACAUCUUCACAAAACGUCAGUAGAAACUUCAAAUGAAUCUCAAAGAAUAGAAUACAAAGUUCGAUCGAUAUUCCUCGGGAUUCUUUGGAACGAAAUCCCCCCCCCCCCCCCAGAACUGCGGCCACACUGGGCACCUUGUGCGUUAACUUCUGCAAAGCAUCGUUGGUGAUUCAACCUCUAUUCCUCGGAAUUCUACCCGUCUCUUGAAAGUCUGUGGCAUGGAAGCUUCCGGCGCGAUUUUCGACGCCAUUCACUACUGAGCAUGGGCUCAACAUGGCAGUGCCGGUGAUAGUCCCCUCGUCCGAACUCGCGAAGUCAAACCUGAGUCCAAUUCAAAGUCCACAUAUGACAAUGCUUCAUCAGCAAGGUCACCAAAUCGCCAAUGCAAUAUCCAUCGCUCAGAUUAUAUGGUAGAGCGCGAGACACCAACAUGGACCCGAGUCUACGUCAAGGGGUUUGCUUAGUGUUGAAAAAGAGCUGCCCUGGUGAUCGAAUACAACAAAAUCGUACUUUACAAUACAACAUGUACGAGUGCCCGUCUUGGCGUCUUGUGGAUUCUGGUGGACGAGGG